rnacentral:rRNA from 1 species
UACGUAGGGUGCGAGCGUUAAUCGGAAUUACUGGGCGUAAAGCGUGCGCAGGCGGUUGUGCAAGACAGAUGUGAAAUCCCCGGGCUUAACCUGGGAAUGGCAUUUGUGACUGCACGGCUAGAGUGUGUCAGAGGGAGGUAGAAUUCCACGUGUAGCAGUGAAAUGCGUAGAUAUGUGGAGGAAUACCGAUGGCGAAGGCAGCCUCCUGGGAUAACACUGACGCUCAUGCAUGAAAGCGUGGGGAGCAAACAGG